UACGUAGGGGGCAAGCGUUGUCCGGAUUUACUGGGCGUAAAGAGCGUGUAGGCGGCCAUACAGGUCCGUUGUGAAAACUGGAGGCUCAACUUCCAGACGUCGACGGAAACCGUGUGGCUAGAGUCCGGAAGAGGAGAGUGGAAUUCCUGGUGUAGCGGUGAAAUGCGCAGAUAUCAGGAGGAACACCAAUUGCGAAGGCAGCUCGCUGGGACGUUACUGACGCUGAGACGCGAAAGCGUGGGGAGCAAACAGG
rnacentral:rRNA from 1 species